GUGGGAGGGGGCUUGCCCCCGAUGGCGUCGUGUCAGUCAGCAAAGUCUUUGACUGAAGCACCGCUAUCGGGGGCAAGCCCCCUCCCAC
rnacentral:misc_RNA from 1 species